AGAUGAACCAGGGCCAACGGAGGAAGGCUGCCUGCUGACAGCUGCCAUUUCCACAGACUCACUGGGCCAAAGUGAUAGCCAACACUGAGAAGAAGAAUCCAGUGUCCAGAUUUUUCAAAGGGCUGCAGAAGUCUUGUUCUGCUGGAUAUAUAUUUUUAAGUUAGAGCUUGUUGAACAACAGAAGAUUAUAGGACCAGCCAGAGACUCAAGGAGAGCCAAUGGGGGUAUUAUGUUUUUGGAUUUAGCUAACCACUGACUGGAGGAACUGAGACAGCAUACAGUGGCAAAGCCUUUGACAAAUAUUCAGUCGGCACUACCUUCACAGAAAUCAUGCACGGAGAUGCCAUGGCAACUGCCGCAUUCUGCACAGUCACACACGAAAUCAACACGCUUAAAUAACUGUAACUCACGCCCACGCUGUUCUAAGAAGGACACAUCUUCUGGAAUAUUCUGUCCAAAAUUCAUAACCCGAGUUUGAUCAUGAAGAAAGAUCUCCCAACCCACGCUACAAAAUAACCGGGACAAGGGAAGAUGGUGAUGGCAACUUAUGUUUACCAUGCAGAUGAAACAGAUCAACACUUUGCCCCAGAGAGCACAUGCUCAUACCACUUUAAGGACGAAUACCCUGAGAAGUGGUUAUGUGUGGAGGUAUCCAAAGGCAAGGCCUUAUUAUUGACUGGAGAACCCAGAUCACAAUUCAAAACAAUUCCAGAACAAUUAAAAUUCACAGAGAAAAAUUGCACAUGCAUAGAGGAAAUGAGAAGAUUAUGAUGGCACAUUAGUAACCAUGGACUAUGGCUUAAAUGAGUGGUCCUUAAACAUUGCUUGCUAGUUUCUCCAUGAACAAGAUUUUAGGAAAAACUUCUGCAUCUUUAAGUUGAUAUCUAAAAUUUGAUCUUCAGUUUAUAACGAAUUGCAAAAGGUAUAAUUUCUGGCAAAUUAAAAACAGUGGCGCUUUUAAAAUUAAUCUGUCAAAUUACUCCGUAAAAUCUAUCCAAAGUAAUCCAAACACAACAGCAAGUUGAGGAUCACAGUCAGUCAUUUAAUAAAGAAUGAUUACAUUUUCCAAUUGAAAAUUGCACAUCAUUCUUUACUCCCUCUAAACUCAUAUUUCCAAGUCCAAUUCCAAUUUUAAUUUCCAUAAACUUCCACAGAAUUUUAUCCUAAAAAAAGACAUUUUGUGCAUGAGCGCCUUUAAUGAUCUCUGAAUCAUACUUCAGUGCAACAAAAAUAUGUGUGUAAAUUGAAAGGUAAAUUGUUUUUAAACAUCUAGUAACCAUAAUGCUUUAAGUAUUAAAUUUGUUUUCUGUAUUGUUAUAAUUAUAAAUAUUAUAGGGCUCAAUUUUUUUUUUUAAAAAAGUAAAAUAAUUACUUACACAAGAAGUAAAAUAUUAUUGGUAAUAAUCUCUAAAUUAUAUGAAUGGGGCUGGGGCUUUUCUCUCCUAUACUUCAUACAUCCAAUGAUGAAAACUACACGUUAUCAUUACUAUAAGUUUCAUUAUAUUGAUAAGACAUGGUCAGUACUAAUUCUAUUCCUAGUUUUUGUUUUCUAUACAUUUGAGCUCAAGAAAAAUUUGUUUAUCUAAAUAAAGGAAUUGGAAUGGAAA
ensembl:lncRNA